GGCGGCGCGCCUAACACAUGCAAGUCGAACGAGAAAGUGGAGCAAUCCAUGAGUAAAGUGGCGUACGGGUGAGUAACACGUGGAUAAUCUACCCUCUAGUGGGGAAUACCGCUGGGAAACCGGCGACAAUACCGCAUAAGCUCGAGAGAGGAAAGCAGCAAUGCGCUGGAGGAGGAGUCCGCGGUCGAUUAGUUAGUUGGCGGGGUAAAGGCCCACCAAGACUGUGAUCGAUAGCCGGCCUGAGAGGGCACACGGCCACACUGGCACUGAAACACGGGCCAGACUCCUACGGGAGGCAGCAGUGGGGAAUCUUGCACAAUGGGGGAAACCCUGAUGCAGCGACGCCGCGUGAGCGAUGAAGCCCCUCGGGGUGUAAAGCUCUUUCGGCAGGGAAGAUUAUGACGGUACCUGCAAAAGCAGCUGCGGCUAACUACGUGCCAGCAGCCGCGGUAAUACGUAGGCAGCAAGCGUUGUUCGGAGUUACUGGGCGUAAAGGGUGCGUAGGCGGCUUUUUAAGUUUGGUGUUAAAUCUCCCGGCUCAACUGGGA
rnacentral:rRNA from 1 species